CAACAGGGAUUGCCCUAGUAACGGCGAGUGAAGCGGCAACAGCUCAAAUUUGAAAUCUGGCUCUCGGGCCCGAGUUGUAAUUUGUAGAGGAUACUUUUGAUGCGGUGCCUUCCGAGUUCCCUGGAACGGGACGCCAUAGAGGGUGAGAGCCCCGUCUGGUUGGAUGCCAAAUCUCUGUAAAGUUCCUUCGACGAGUCGAGUAGUUUGGGAAUGCUGCUCUAAAUGGGAGGUAUAUGUCUUCUAAAGCUAAAUACCGGCCAGAGACCGAUAGCGCACAAGUAGAGUGAUCGAAAGAUGAAAAGCACUUUGAAAAGAGAGUUAAAAAGUACGUGAAAUUGUUGAAAGGGAAGCGUUUAUGACCAGACUUGGGCUUGGUUAAUCAUCUGGGGUUCUCCCCAGUGCACUUUUCCAGUCCAGGCCAGCAUCAGUUUUUGCCGGGGGAUAAAGACUUCGGGAAUGUGGCUCUCUUCGGGGAGUGUUAU
rnacentral:rRNA from 1 species